rnacentral:rRNA from 1 species
UACGUAGGGAGCUAGCGUUGUUCGGAAUUACUGGGCGUAAAGCGCACGUAGGCGGCUUUGUAAGUUAGAGGUGAAAGCCCGGGGCUCAACUCCGGAACUGCCUUUAAGACUGCAUCGCUUGAAUCCAGGAGAGGUGAGUGGAAUUCCGAGUGUAGAGGUGAAAUUCGUAGAUAUUCGGAAGAACACCAGUGGCGAAGGCGGCUCACUGGACUGGUAUUGACGCUGAGGUGGCGAAAAGCGUGGGGAGCAAACAGG